UACGUAGGGUGCAAGCGUUGUCCGGAAUUAUUGGGCGUAAAGAGCUCGUAGGCGGUCUGUCGCGUCGGCUGUGAAAACCCGGGGCUCAACCCCGGGCCUGCAGUCGAUACGGGCAGACUAGAGUGCGGUAGGGGAGACUGGCAUUCCUGGUGUAGCGGUGAAAUGCGCAGAUAUCAGGAGGAACACCGGUGGCGAAGGCGGGUCUCUGGGCCGUAACUGACGCUGAGGAGCGAAAGCGUGGGGAGCGAACAGG
rnacentral:rRNA from 1 species